UACGAAGGGGGCUAGCGUUGUUCGGAAUUACUGGGCGUAAAGCGCGCGCAGGCGGUCUUCCAAGUCAGUGGUGAAAGCCCGGAGCUCAACUCCGGAACUGCCAUUGAAACUGUUGGACUUGAGUACGAGAGAGGUGAGUGGAAUUCCCAGUGUAGAGGUGAAAUUCGUAGAUAUUGGGAAGAACACCGGUGGCGAAGGCGGCUCACUGGCUCGUAACUGACGCUCAGGCGCGACAGCGUGGGGAUCGAAACAGG
rnacentral:rRNA from 1 species